ACUUUUCCAUUUACAUUUAUAAAUUUAUAAAAGCCGCCUUCAGAAACCAAACAAUUACCAGUUUUCGUAAAGUCUUCAGCCAAAGAGCAUAUAUAAAAUUUGAAUAAAAGCAUCACAAUGAGUUCAGCCGAAUACUAUCCAUUCAAGUGCACCCCAACUGUAUACCCAGCUGAUCCCUUUGAUCCAAUCGAAGAUGCUGCCACUCUUCGUAAGGCAAUGAAGGGUUUCGGUACCGACGAGAAGGCUGUGAUUGAAGUCUUGGCCCGUCGUGGUAUUGUCCAACGUUUAGAAAUCGCCGAAUCCUUCAAAACCUCCUACGGCAAGGAUUUAAUUUCGGAUCUUAAAUCUGAACUCGGUGGCAAAUUCGAAGAUGUUAUUAUUGCCCUUAUGACUCCCCUGCCACAAUUCUAUGCCCAAGAAUUACACGAUGCCGUCGCUGGUAUUGGUACCGAUGAGGAAGCAAUUAUUGAAAUUCUUUGCACCUUGUCCAAUUACGGAAUCAAGACUAUCGCUCAAUUCUAUGAACAGAGUUUCGGUAAAUCCCUAGAAUCAGACCUUAAGGGUGAUACAAGUGGCCAUUUUAAGCGUUUGUGUGUAUCCUUGGUGCAGGGUAAUCGUGAUGAAAAUCAGGGAGUUGAUGAGGCUGCUGCUGUGGCUGAUGCUACUGCCUUAUUCGAAGCUGGUGAAGGCCAAUGGGGUACUGAUGAAUCAGUUUUCAAUUCCAUCCUGAUCACAAGAUCAUACCAACAACUCAGACAGAUUUUCCUCGAAUACGAAAACAUUGCUGGUCAUGAAAUCGAGAAAGCUAUCAAGCGUGAAUUCAGUGGACCAAUUGAAAAGGGAUUCUUGGCUAUCGUCAAGUGCUGUAAAUCAAAAGUAGACUAUUUCGCUGAGCGACUUUAUGAUUCAAUGCACGGUAUUGGAACUAAGGACAAGACUCUUAUUCGUAUUAUUGUUAGCCGAUCUGAAAUCGAUUUGGGUGACAUCAAAGAAGCAUUCCAAAACAAAUACGGAAAGAGUCUGGAAUCAUGGAUUAAGGAGGAUUCAGAAAGUGAAAAUGGAUAUGCUCUUGCCACUGUUGUGGCCUGGUAGAAAGGAAGCUAUUAAAUUCCAUCGCAACAUUUCCAAUUAUUCAGCUUUAAUGCUCUUAAAUAUAUUACAUAUUAUGUAUUAGUAACAAAACAAAAGCUUUUAUAUGUACAUACCCGUAUGUAUGAUGAUUGCGAUUCUGAUGUAGGAUAUUGUCUUGCAACCCUUGCCUCCUGGUAAACAGAGGUCGAAUCUCAAAAUUGAUCGCCUCUUUUUGGUGUGAUUGGCCAAAUACUAUUUUAAUCUUAAGGCAAUAAUUAAAAACAAAUAAAUAUUUAUGGAAACUAUUUAAGUGUAUGUUUUCUUUUUAACAAUUAUUUUGGAAUCAUCAAAUACGUGGACUGCAGAAAUGUAUACCCCACAAAAGUUGUAUGGUUAGUUAUUGUAAUUGUUGUUGUUGCUUGCUUAGUUCUAUUAUAUCUUAGUUAUAAAAAAUAUUUUAAAUAAAGAUUUUGAUAUAAUAAAUCAAGUAUUUGUUUUAUUUCUAAAUAAAUAUAUAUAUAUUUUUAUUUCUGUUUUCUUUAUAGGAUGAUGUAUCUGGGGACUACCAAAGGGUUUUAGUACAACUUGCCUCAUAUUAAAUUA